CUUACUGCCAGGCCGUUUAGUGAAACGUGCAGGAGGCCACCCUGUGUGGACCACGUCCGCUGGUCUCCUCGCCCUCUGUCAGCUCAGCCUGCCGGAACGACGCACCAGAGGCCAGGGGUUUAACGGACAGAAGUCUGCUCUCACAGUCUUGAAGCUUCGGCAGGGUUGGCUUCUUCUGAGGCCUGUCAUCUCCCGAAAAGCAGUGUCACAUGGUCUUCCUUCUGGACAUGUCUGUGUCCGAAUUUCCUCUUUGUAUAAGGACACCAGUCGUAUUAGGUUAGGGCUCACCCUGAUGACCUGACUUUAACGUCAGAGGCUACGUGAAGUCGUGAAGGAGCAGAUGUGUUUGAGUAGCAAAGGUCUGGCCUGAAAGGCAGCUCCUGCACACGGCACGGCAUUGUGGCGGACAGGCCCCUUUCUCUCUCCCAUCCUUUCGUGUCCGUAAUUGUAAAAUGGAAUGGAAGCCUCAAACAUUUUGUUAUGAGGGAUUGAUUAAGUUACAUUAAAUGAGACAGCA
rnacentral:lncRNA from 1 species